UUGGCACCCUCACAGUCGGGCUGCACGCACUAUCGAAGACACCUUAUUACUUCGUUAAAAGGUGCAAAAAGUCUAAGCCCGACGACUUAGGAAUAUCUGCAAAGAUGAACAUUCGGUUGAUAUUGACGAUACUUAUCCUAACGGCUCUUUUAAUUUCCCUGGGAGAAGCCAUGAAUAGGAGAAAGGGAAAAGGAGGAAAAGGAGGCAAAAGUAAGUAGCUGUUUCUGUAAAGUUUUUGAUAAAGAAGCUGUCCAAAAAGAU